GAACUCAUUCAUCCUGUGUGGAGGAGGGGGUCAGCUCUGUGUUCCAUGCAAAGUGCUGUCUUCUGAGGUCCAGUAUCAGCGCUGAAAGAAAACUGAGACCUGCCUCCAGUAUCUCCCAGUUGGAGGAAGAGGUGGAGUCAGCAGACCCGGAACCAUCAUUUCAGCAUAGUAAGGUCUCUCCUCACUUGCCUAAACACCGGAGGAGGCAGCCUUGGUAUUCCGUUUUCCAAGAUAUGAAGCUUGGUAUAUUAAUCAGAAUCCUUCGUGAGCAAGGGGCAGCAAUCAACUCAGACUUAGAAAGAGUCCAGAUGGGCUCAUUCCGGGGCUUCGCGUGCGCGUGGGGCCCAACCCAGGCCCUUGCGCGGGGUCGCAGUCGGGACGGCCCUGCCCCAGGUGUGGCUCGGAGGCUGCCGCUGGUAUUAAUGACUUUACCUUUGGGUUUGUGUCUGUAAGUGACAUCUGGUGUGGCAUCGGAGCUUGGGCCAGAGGUGCAGAGGUGUG
rnacentral:lncRNA from 1 species